rnacentral:rRNA from 1 species
CCUCGGAUCAGGUAGGAAUACCCGCUGAACUUAGCCCAUUAUCCA